UCUCUCUCUCUCUCCCUGUGUGUGUGUGUGUGUGUGUGUGUGUAGAGAGAGAGAGAGAGAGAGUUUUUCCUUUCCCAAGGGAAGGCUUUCAACUUUGAAAACUUCAUGAAGUGUUUUUUGGCAUAAUUUCCCAAAUAGCUGUGAAAUAAAUAUUCUGAAAUAUUCAUAUUUCUCUAUGGUGACAAACUAUAAAGUAGUCCUUUUACCUUUAAAGAUGGAUGGACACAGCAUCUAUAGCUUUGCCUUGAAGUUCUGUAGAAGCAAUUAUUGUAAUAAGUUCGGGUAUUGAAGAUAUUUUAAAGAA